UCCCGGUUAGCUUAGUUUGUAGAACGCUCCACUGGAAAUGGAGAGGUCCCUCGUUCGAUACCAGGACCAGGCG
rfam:Ixodes scapularis strain Wikel colony gcontig_1107728858282, whole genome shotgun sequence.